GAUUGUAUAUUAAAUCUUAGAUUUUUCGUAUGCAUCCUUUAUAGUUCAGCUUGAUGAUUGAUAAAACCUGUAACAAUUGGAUUGGGUCUUCCGUUUACAGGUUAAUCCUGUGGCAAGGAUUUGGUAUUAAGAACUCCAUCACCUCCAUGCAAGAACGUAUCAGAUUUAGAUUCAUUUGGAUCUGUUGCUGCUAAUUCUAUUGAAGGUAGAUCAACGCUGCAUCAGUAUUUCAAGCUCUUUCAUGAAAAUUACCAUUGAUGAGGUGAUACUAAAUAACAAAAGAAAAAUCACCAUAAAAACUGAAAAAUAAAUAAAAAAAAUAAUUGAAAAAUAAGAAGAUCGUAAUUUUAGAAAAAACCCCGUG
rnacentral:lncRNA from 1 species